rnacentral:lncRNA from 1 species
GCAGUUGUAUAUAUUGGUGCAUGUACAAGGAAGAGGCAGAGAGCACUCUCACACUGAGUCAUCAGAGGAGCAUUUAGUAAAGGUUUGAUGGCAAAGUGUGGGUAGGGUUUAGGAAAUCAGAGUCCUGCAGUACCCUGGGCUGGCAGCCCCCUGGCCUGAAGGUUGGUGAAAACCCUGUGUCCUUGGAGAAAGCUGGUUCCCGUUUUCCUG